CUGCUGCCUCCCGUAGGAGUUUGGACCGUGUCUCAGUUCCAAUGUGGGGGACCUUCCUCUCAGAACCCCUACGCAUCGUCGCCUCGGUGGGCCGUUACCCCGCCGACUAGCUAAUGCGCCGCAUGCCCAUCCGCCACCGGGAUCGCUCCCUUUGACCCCCCAGGGAUGCCCCCUAAAGGGUGUCAUGGGGUAUUAGGCGGCAUUUCUACCGGUUAUCCCCCUGUGACGGCCAGGUUGCAUACGUGUUACUCACCCGUGCGCCGGUCGCCGGCUGUUGG
rnacentral:rRNA from 1 species